UCCUCGGUGGUCCAGUGGCUAGGACUCCAAGUUCCCAAUGCGGAGGGCCUGGGUUCAAUCCCUGGUCAGGGAA
rnacentral:tRNA from 1 species